ACGUACACUCCUGCGGGAGGCAGCAGUGGGGAAUAUUGGACAAUGGGCGCAAGCCUGAUCCAGCCAUGCCGCGUGAGUGAUGAAGGCCCUAGGGUUGUAAAGCUCUUUCACCGGUGAAGAUAAUGACGGUAACCUGAGAAGAAGCCCCGGCUAACUUCGUGCCAGCAGCCGCGGUAAUACGAAGGGGGCUAGCGUUGUUCGGAUUUACUGGGCGUAAAGCGCACGUAGGCGGACUAUUAAGUCAGGGGUGAAAUCCCGGGGCUCAACCCCGGAACUGCCUUUGAUACUGGUAGUCUUGAGUUCGAGAGAGGUGAGUGGAAUUCCGAGUGUAGAGGUGAAAUUCGUAGAUAUUCGGAGGAACACCAGUGGCGAAGGCGGCUCACUGGCUCGAUACUGACGCUGAGGUGCGAAAGCGUGGGGAGCAAACAGGAUUAGAAACCCGAGUAGUCCCAUGA
rnacentral:rRNA from 1 species